rnacentral:lncRNA from 1 species
AAUACUUAAAAAUUGUGCUAUUAUUUUUUCCCUAGUACUCAAUAUGUGAUAAAACAACAAUACUUCAUUUUAUAAUAUACAUGUACAUUAGCCUUAUGCCUUUUGCUCAAGACAGGCAUAAGAGUAAUAUCUCUACAAUUAUUACAUUCCAUCAAAUCACCCUUUUUAGGAAUGAUUGUGAUUACUUCUCUUCCAGUCCUGUGGACAAUAUCUUCAUCUCAGAUCUUCUUCACCAAGGAAUAGAUAAAUUGGAUAGAAGUUACUCCUCUAGCUUAGAUAAUUUUAUUAGUUAUGAGAUCAAAACCAGAUGCUUUGUUAACAUUGAGC